rnacentral:lncRNA from 1 species
GCCUUGUGGAAGAAACCCUGAGAUCUAUACAACGGAAAAGUACCAGAAUCAGCCCCCAAGGAUGCCAUGAGCUCAGGCGCGCUGGCACGUUGGGCACUCGCUGUGGGCUGACUCUAUUCAACACGGUGAUUGCUGGUGUUGGUGGAAGGAGGCAUCGAGGAAAUACAGAAAACUGGGAAGCUGUCUCCCCAGUCGCUGGGGCACUGAUUUGCAGGAGCCCCCAUCAAGGCUUGGAGAAGUCCACUCCUCCCGUCGGAGUACCCCGAGCUCCCUGCAGACACACCUGGCUGCCUUCCCCAGGGCUCAGGGAGCAAGCCUGCAUCCUCAGGCUCUGUCUAGUCCCUGGAGCCGCCUCCUCGAAGCUCUUACAUAACUCGGGUCCUUCCUCACCUCCUGAGCAGCACCGCCCUCCCCCCACCUUCUAGACAUGGGGGAGUAACAUCUGCU